rnacentral:rRNA from 1 species
UACGAAGGGGGCUAGCGUUGCUCGGAAUUACUGGGCGUAAAGGGCGCGUAGGCGGACUGUUUAGUCAGAGGUGAAAGCCCAGGGCUCAACCUUGGAAUUGCCUUUGAUACUGGCAGUCUUGAGUACGGAAGAGGUAUGUGGAACUCCGAGUGUAGAGGUGAAAUUCGUAGAUAUUCGGAAGAACACCAGUGGCGAAGGCGACAUACUGGUCCGUUACUGACGCUGAGGCUCGAAAGCGUGGGGAGCGAACAGG